ensembl:lncRNA
CCGGAGAACUACAAGGCCGGCGGGGGCCAGAGCCCCGCGCGAGAGAUGGAGGACUCAUGCUUCUGAAGGGGUUUCCAGCUGGAAGAGAAGCCGUAGAGGAUACAGCAGAGAGGAGGCCUUGAUGCCUGGAGGUCUGUGGGGCAGACACAUGCCCACCACGUCCACCAGGGACAAAACUCAAGCAGAUGACCUGACAAGCAGGCAAGAUCUCUUAAGGCAAGAAGACAACACCUGCCGGAAUUAAGACACACCCUAAAGCACAAGGAUGGCCUCUUUAAAGAGCAGGUGGUUGAGCACAGACACCAAGACAGCCUGAGAGGAGUCCCGGAGAGGACAGGGAGAAAGAAAAUGACAGGCGUUCCCAGCAGAAGAGGCAGAGGAGAGCCAGGAGGCGAAGGAGAGAGUCGAAGCCGAUGCUCUCAAAUUAGAACUCAGACUAGUGAGCUCAGUGAGGAUGAGAGAUGAAAUUGUGUGACUGUCAAUAAAAUGAUCAGAGGACGAUGGCUGAUAAGACCCGAGGAUCAAAAAAGUGACGAGGGCACACUUGAAGCCCUGGCCGGGACAGCCACGAUCCAAGUUGAUAUACAUCCAUGUGUGACAUUUAAAAAUUCAUUAUAAUUAAAAUAUGCAUUGAAGGAAAGUGUUAGUCACUCAGUC